GAAGCUCAUCGGUAGAGCACCUGCCUUGCAUACAGAAAGGUACCAGGUUCAAUCCCUGGAAUCUCCA